CCUACGGGAGGCUGCAGUGAGGAAUAUUGGUCAAUGGGCGCUAGCCUGAACCAGCCAAGUAGCGUGAAGGAUGACUGCCCUAUGGGUUGUAAACUUCUUUUAUAUGGGAAUAAAGUGCAGUAUGUAUACUGCUUUGCAUGUACCUUAUGAAUAAGGAUCGGCUAACUCCGUGCCAGCAGCCGCGGUAAUACGGAGGAUCCGAGCGUUAUCCGGAUUUAUUGGGUUUAAAGGGAGCGUAGGCGGGUUGUUAAGUCAGUUGUGAAAGUUUGCGGCUCAACCGUAAAAUUGCAGUUGAUACUGGCAGCCUUGAGUACAGUAGAGGUAGGCGGAAUUCGUGGUGUAGCGGUGAAAUGCUUAGAUAUCACGAAGAACUCCGAUUGCGAAGGCAGCCUGCUGGACUGUAACUUACGCUGAUGCUCGAAAGUGUGGGUAUCAAACAGGAUUAGAUACCCCAGUAGUC
rnacentral:rRNA from 1 species